ACUUUCAAUUGAAUGGUUUAUAGUAUUAUAAAAACUUGGUUGCUAUAUGAUUAUCGCGUUGUUUGGGUCAAAACCGCAGAUCCGCCAACCGCCAAGGCCGCAUCCGACAUCUCCCCCCACCCCUCCACUCGUUGACUCAGGCUUCCUCCUCCUCCUCCCCCCCCUCCUCCUCCGCAAUCCUCCUCAUCCUUCUCUCCGCUACUCUCAAAACUAUAAUCCAAACACACCGCCAUCCGAAGAAACCCUAAUAGGAGCGCCACGGCUCGGCGACUCAACGGGCUUCGAAAGUUUCGAUUUUUAGGUCGAAAUCGAUACCUUCUGGUUGUCGGAGUACAAGAUUACUUCUAGAAAAGGGCGUUCUUGGUGAUCCUUUUAUGCCCCUUUUCUUCUCCCUGGGUUGGAAGAGGAGAUGCUGCGGGGCGGGGGAGCCAAGGGCGGGCUGGGUGGUGGGAGAUGCCUGCCGCUGGCAAUCGUGGCGGUCGACGCUGUUCUUGCUAUCGUUGAUGGGGCCAUCGCAAUCGUGGCCUUCUUGCAGUUAUUAAGAAUCCACUUACGCAAUCAACAACUUGGCUGGACUCGCCAAAAGAUUUUCCAUCUCAUGAUUGGGUCAUACAACUUAGGUUACUUGACAUAUUUCAUCUUUACUCCUUUUGCUACUUGUGGGGAUUGGCCGUGCUGGUCACGCGGUUGUGGGUUUUUCUUGAUGGCUUGUCCUGAAAUUUUGUUUCUAGCUGCAUUCCUUCUGCUCUUGUCAUUUUGGGUCGAUCUGUGCCACCAGGCAAAUGAUGAAGACGAAGAAGAUGAUGAAAGUAGCUAUAAUGAAGCUUUGUUGGAAAAGUCAAAGACGAAGAUAAGUUCAUUACACACAGAUGGUCGGAGGAGAUGUUGUUCUUUCGGGACUAUGCAUGUUGGAAGCCGACAGAAAUUUGUGAUCUUGGUGAUUGCACUGACAUUUGUUUUUAUGAUUGCAUUUGCUCUCCUCAUUUGGGUUGGUAGAGCCAACAAUCCUAUUGAUUCUUCACUCGUGGCUAGGGUCUAUUUUUUCAUCUCUUCUGUGGCCAUCCUUCUACUAGGUUGUGCUUUGGCGUGCUAUGGACUACUGCUAUUCUCCAAAAUGAGCAAAAUACGAUCCGAGAUGGCCUCAACUGAAAUGUGGAAGGUUGCAAGUCUGGCAGCUAUCACUCUCAUAUGUUUCACAUCAUCUGCUGUACUAGCCCUUGUUACUAAUAUUCCGUUGCAGCUGCUUUCUUAUUGGCACUCAGCACGUAUGGACAGCAUAAGCAGUUCAAUUCUAAUAUUUCUUUAUUACUUUAUAGGUUCAUCAGUGCCAUCAGGUUUUGUAUUGUGGGUCAUGAGAGAACUGCCUCCUCAGCCAGCAGCUGAUAGACCAGAAGAAUCAAGAGUAGUAACAUUUAUGAGGGAAAGUCCAAUAGAUACCCAUAAUCUUCAGUGGAGGACUGCUGUCACAUCAUCACAGAAUAAGGUACGCCCACAAUCUCCUGGGCAAAUUUCCUCUUUUCGCCUAUUCAGUGGAUUGGCUACCUAUUUACAUCAGAUGCAGAGUUCUUGGUGAAUCUUGGGCAAUAUGAAAAUUCAAUGGCUGAUAUUCUGCCUUGAGGACCAUCAAGUUGAUUUCCCUUAACAUAUAGCUUCUUAUUGAAUUCAACAAAUGCAGCCCCGAGGUCUGAGAGGAAUCAGGCUCUCAAAGCAAGCCCCAUAUAGCAACCUUGUGAUCUCGUAAUUCUUAAGCUGAUUUACAUGCAAACAGAGCAUUUCAAUUGAAGCUGCCACUAUCCGAACCAACAGAGCAAGGGUGCUGAUUUAGGCAUCACACCAUUGCUCACUGCUUCUAUGGGGAUUGAUCACAAGGAUACGGUAACAGGAGGGCAGAUGGAAGCAUUCUACUCCUUACAAGUCGGAAUGCAAAUAACUGUAAUAUGUUGGCAGGCCCUGGAGGCAGGUUCUUGGUCAUCAAUUAACCAAGAACUUUUUUGGCGGAUGUUAUGUUUAACAUAAGUUAAUAAUGUAUUUGAUCAAUGGCUCUUAUCGCCAAUUUUUUGAUGUGAUCUGAUGUGCUAAUUUCAGUAUCUUACUCUGUUGACAAUGUCUCGAGUUCACCGACUUACAGACUGCUUGAUUUGAGCCUGUGAUGUAAUACAGACCUAGUCCGAAGCUAUCUAACUUUAAAAA